UAUAUACAUAUAUUGGAUGUAUCCACAUACUCUUAUAGUGACCACUGGAAGGCAUUCUUGAACGCAAACUCUGGGUUAUCAUAGAGAACAAAAACCUUUUCUCUGGCCACGAUGCCAACAUGCGGCGGCUUGAGGAGUAGUCUUGGGACCUUCCUAAGGCACCUCGAAGAAAGCAGUUUUAAGAUACUAGAACAAGGGUAUCGGACGAAAAGGCGUGGAACAUUGCCUGCGUGGUCCAGAAUGUGCUAAUGUCAAUAUUACAGAGCUGGAUGACAAUCUAAAAUCUGAAAAAUUUAUAUUGCAAGAAACAAAAAUAUGAGUUAAAACUUGUAAUACUUUAGAACUAAAUCCGUUUGUAAAUUGAAAACUUAUUUUGAGUGCAUUUCUAGCUCUUUUAUCAUCGUCGCCUGCUAUUCAAGGAACAUUUUUAAUCAGGGACCGAUCAAGGAGAUUUUUCCGAUCACAAACAGGCACGUCACGACCAGAUCGGCUCACAAAUCUUUAUUUGCAUACGUAUCUGUAAGUUUGGAAAUAUACAGUCAUGAAAAAAUAAUAGAAACGGCAUUUACGGUAUUUCUAUAUAUUUGGAUUUUUACGGUGAUAAGAGGUUUUAGAGGUGAUUUUUACAAGAUUUUACAAGCCAAAAACUGCUGGAAAUCGUGGCAUCCUUUUGUGGCUGUGCUAACUCUUUAAAAAAACAUCAGGCAGUCUUUUGGGCUGACUCUUUUGACCUUGUUUUGAAAGGUGGGUGUGGCCGAAAAGGCAAUAUCCUUAAUUGUCCCUAAGGAUCUGGGAUACUCUCUCGAUCCUAAGGAGCCGUGGCACGCCCUGAUCGGACAUAAAAUGACGGACUUACGACGAUGGUUAAAUCCAUCAUGAUUUAAUUAUUUACAAUGCCAAAAGAUCAGACGCUAUAUCUCGGCCAAGUAGGUCCCGAUCGAUGAAGGACCUAAAUCCUCGACCUGUCCUGGCCAUGAUGCCGCUGCUGUGUCGCUAAGUCAAUAAUGUGGCGUUUUCGUCGUUUCCACUGCAGCAGGGGCCAGUGAUCAAUGGUGGUAUGGUUGAUUCAAGCCCACGGGAAAUGUCAGUACCCCCUCAUUCGUCGUCGCCGAAUCAAACGCUGGACCUUUGCUUUAAGACGCAGAACUUAUGUACCCUACGCUUUCCCCCGCCAGACGGAGUCCUGUCUAAGCAUUACCGAGGCGCAUUCGAGGCAGACCG